rnacentral:rRNA from 1 species
UGGGGAAUAUUGGACAAUGGGCGAAAGCCUGAUCCAGCCAUGCCGCGUGUGUGAAGAAGGUCUUCGGAUUGUAAAGCACUUUAAGUUGGGAGGAAGGGCAGUAAGCGAAUACCUUGCUGUUUUGACGUUACCGACAGAAUAAGCACCGGCUAACUCUGUGCCAGCAGCCGCGGUAAUACAGAGGGUGCAAGCGUUAAACGGAAUUACUGGGCGUAAAGCGCGCGUAGGUGGUUCGUUAAGUUGAAUGUGAAAGCCCCGGGCUCAACCUGGGAACUGCAUCCAAAACUGGCGAGCUAGAGUAGGGCAGAGGGUGGUGGAAUUUCCUGUGUAGCGGUGAAAUGCGUAGAGAUCUGGAGGAAUACCGAUGGCGAAGGCAGCCAUCUGGCCUAACACUGACGCUGAGGUACGAAAGCAUGGGGAGCAAACAGG